rnacentral:rRNA from 1 species
AUUGAACGCUGGCGGCAGGCCUAACACAUGCAAGUCGAACGAGUGGCGGACGGGUGAGUAAUGUCUGGGAAACUGCCUGAUGGAGGGGGAUAACUACUGGAAACGGUAGCUAAUACCGCAUACCAUCGGAUGUGCCCAGAUGGGAUUAGCUAGUAGGUGGGGUAACGGCUCACCUAGGCGACGAUCCCUAGCUGGUCUGAGAGGAUCACCAGCGACACUGGAACUGAGACACGGUCCAGACUCGUGCGAGAAGCAGCAGUAGUCAAGAUUGCACAGUGGGCGCAAGCCUGAUGCAGCCAUGCCGCGUGUAUGAAGAAUGCCUUCGGGUUGUAAAGUACUUUCAGCGGGGAGGCGUUACCCGCAGAAGAAGCACCGGCGAACUCCGUGCCAGCAGCCGCGGUAAUUC